AAACCCAAAGGCUCUUUUCAGAGCCCCCCUACCGUUUCAGAGGAAGAGCUAACCUCACUGCUUGUACGUACGAGGGAAAAAAGCACUAAGCUGCCCCACCCACAAGAAAUGGAGAUCUGGGACCAUGGGCAAAUUUCUAGGGACCUGUUUUCCUGGAUUCUGAGUCUCGCCGAGGUUUUCUUCCGGAUCUCGGUUUCUGCGCUUUUUGAAAUCUGUUUGCUGUUUUGAAAUGGAGUUUUGCUCUUGUUGCCCAAGCUGGAGUGCAGUGGCGCGAUCUUGGCUCACGGCAUGCAAACUCCGCCUCACGGUUUCAGACGACUCUCCUGCCUCAGCCUCAGCCUGCCUAGUAGAUGGGAUUACAGACGCCCGCCACUAGUAGAAACGGAGUUUCACCAUGUUAGCUGGGCUGGUCUCCUGACUUCAGGUGAUCCGCCGGCCUCUGCCUCCCAAAGUGCUGGAAUUACAGGCGUGAGCCACCGCGCCGGGCCGGUUUCUGCUUUGAUCGGAAUUAAGUGGGCAGGGAAGUCUAGGCGGGCUGAGUCUUGCCUACGCCUCAGCGCCCAGCUCCUCAGACUGGCCAAACAGACCCCAGUCGUUUAGUCGAACGCUUCUGGAAUUCCACUGAAACGUUUUGCAUUUUUUGUUUCGAGCCUUCAAAUCUGAGUGUGUGGGCAGGAGAUAAUAAUCCAAGCAGAGGCUGUUUACUGCUGACGCUCCUCCCACUUCCCAGAUACUGACACCAGCUUGGGGCGGGUCCAGCCUUUUCCGCUCUUUCCUCCUUCCACCCACUCCUUUCCCUACAACUACCCUCAAAGGAAAAGGGUUGGAUGUCCCGUUUGGGAGAAAACAAAGUGGCAUAGAAGCAAGUGAUCACCUUUGAUAGCCACGUUAGAAUUUUCCGAGGAUAUUUUUAAAUUACAACGAUUCUAAUGGGCAGUUGGGCUGAGAGUCAUCAGAUUUGAGGAAGGUCUGGUUUCAUAUGGCUCUUGGGCUGAGAGGACAGGAUUUUUCCCCCUAGCAUUUCCUGUAUGUCCGAGAAUUUGGAUCUUAAGGUUGGAACUGCUUUAUAUGGGCCUUGGAAUCCUUUUCAUUGCCAGGCCAAAUUGCCUUUGAUUCCAGCUCCCAAUCGGUGUGUGACCUUGGCCUAGGGCUUAAUUUCUUCCUGCCUCCUUCUCUUCCUUGCAUGCUUUUGCUCACCUUGAAAUGAAAAGAAUCUGGCUCAGCAAGUGUAGAUUCUGAAAUCAGACAACAGGCUAAAUAAGAGAGAUGGUUUAUUAGGCACUACUGUGUGCCAGGCAAAUUUCAUGAGCUUCCAGUAUGUUAAUUCAUUUAAUCCAACAAUCUUAGAAAUAGGUUUUAUCCUUAUUCCGAAUUUUGAGAUGAGCAAACUAAGAAACAGCUUUAAAAAAGUUCCAAGGCCAGAAAAACAGUACUUAUAACAGCUGGCUAUUUUAUAACCACACUUCCUUAAGAGAUUAUUGUCAGAAAAAUAAAAAGAGUAAAACAUCCA
rnacentral:lncRNA from 1 species